rnacentral:rRNA from 1 species
CUUGCUGGCCACUUGUUUGAGGUCAGCUCCUCUGAAAUGCAUUAGCGGAACUGUUUGCAAUCUGCCACAAGUGUGAUAAAUUAUCUACACUGGCAAGGGGAUUGCUCUCUGUAUUGUUCAGCUUCUAAUUGUCUCUGUUAAUGAGACAACGUCUUGAAUGCU